UUGUUUUUCUGCCUGUUUUUUUUUUUGUGUGUAUUUCGUUUGAAAAUUAGUUUCCGAAGAAUCGAAAUUAUUAAGUCAUGCAGAAGACAAUUGGAUCAUUUGUUUACGCGGGGGAAUGUAGGUGUGUUGCCCCGAGUGCCGGGGCACAUGCAACAGGUUAAAUGACAAGAGUGACGUGUACCCCGGAUUGUCGCUGCCUCGGGGGCAUUUCUUAUUAUUUUUGUUCGCCGCUUUGGAGCCCCAAAUCAGCUUAAAUAUAAUUAAUGGCGGCAUUGGCCGGCCAGUGACAAGUCCAUUAAAAUGAGGUCCAGGAAGUCAAAGGUUGGGAAUACAGAGCAGAAAUAUCUCAAUUUGAACCUGUUCCCGUCCUUCAAUAAAAUUAAAGAGCCAUAAAGCAAAUUUACUGCAACGUGCAACAAAUUAAAACAUCAUAAAAAUCAAAGACAGACCCGAAAGAGAUCUCCGAUGGUAAAGGAAAAUGCCGCCAUCGCCAUAGCCAUCGCCAUGGCAAAACGCGAACAGAAGUUGAGCGGCGGCCCCAAAUUAGACGCCGCCUCCUCGAGGGCGACAGGGAGGAGAGCCUGGAGCCUGAAGCCUGGCGCGGAGCCCAGCUGCCAAGCCGCGGCUAAUGAUGACCUUUUCACUGCGGCACGACAACUUAAGGUCAGAAACAAUCAAAAGCCACUCCAACGGGUGGCAAUUGGCGCGCAGGCGCUUCACCAUCACCAUCCCGGUCUCGUCUUUAUUUUCGGGCUCCUUCGCCUCCUUCGGUGCCACUGCAGCUACCAAGCAACGCUAAUAGUUAAUAAUAAUUAUUAUUUCAUUUCUGGCAAGCGCAACUCCCACUGGCUGACACCAACUGAAAGCCGCAGCCGCAGCCGCAGCCUCAGCC